UACGGAGGGAGCUAGCGUUAUUCGGAAUUACUGGGCGUAAAGCGCACGUAGGCGGCUUUGCAAGUUAGAGGUGAAAGCCUGGAGCUCAACUCCAGAACUGCCUUUAAAACUGCAUCGCUUGAAUCCAGGAGAGGUGAGUGGAAUUCCGAGUGUAGAGGUGAAAUUCGUAGAUAUUGGGAAGAACACCGGUGGCGAAGGCGGCUCUCUGGACCGUAACUGACGCUGAGGCGCGAAAGCGUGGGGAGCAAACAGG
rnacentral:rRNA from 1 species